CACGUAGGGAGCAAGCGUUGUCCGGAUUUAUUGGGCGUAAAGAGCUCGUAGGUGGUUCGGUAAGUCGGGUGUGAAAACUCUGGGCUCAACCCAGAGACGCCACCCGAUACUGCCGUGACUAGAGUCUGGUAGGGAGUGUGGAAUUCCUAGUGUAGCGUGAAAUGCGCAGAUAUUAGGAGAACACCAGUGCGAAGGCGGCACUCUGGCAGUACUGACACUGAGGAGCGAAAGCGUGGUAGCGAACAGG
rnacentral:rRNA from 1 species